rnacentral:rRNA from 1 species
GACGAACGCUGGCGGCGUGCUUAACACAUGCAAGUCGAACGGAAAGGCCCUGCUUUUGUGGGGUGCUCGAGUGGCGAACGGGUGAGUAACACGUGAGUAACCUGCCCUUGACUUUGGGAUAACUUCAGGAAACUGGGGCUAAUACCGGAUAGGAGCUCCUGCUGCAUGGUGGGGGUUGGAAAGUUUCGGCGGUUGGGGAUGGACUCGCGGCUUAUCAGCUUGUUGGUGGGGUAGUGGCUUACCAAGGCUUUGACGGGUAGCCGGCCUGAGAGGGUGACCGGGGACAUGAGGACUGAGAUACGGCCCAGACUCCUACGGGAGGCAGUAGUGGGGAAUAUUGCACAAUGGGCGGAAGUCUGAUGCAGCAACGCCGCGUGCGGGAUGACGGCCUUCGGGUUGUAAACCGCUUUCGCCUGUGACGAAGCGUGAGUGACGGUAAUGGGUAAAGAAGCACCGGCUAACUACGUG